rnacentral:rRNA from 1 species
GACGAACGCUGGCGGCGUGCCUAACACAUGCAAGUCGAGCGGAGAACGACGAGCAGCUUGCUGCAAGUUGUUCUUAGCGGCGGACGGGUGAGUAACGCGUGGGCAAUCUGCCUCAAACAGGGGGAUAACACAGGGAAACUUGUGCUAAUACCGCAUAAAACCACAACAUGGCAUCAUGAAGUGGUCAAAGGAAGAAAUUCCGGUUUGAGAUGAGCCCGCGUCUGAUUAGCUAGUUGGUGAGGUAACGGCUCACCAAGGCGACGAUCAGUAGCCGAACUGAGAGGUUGAUCGGCCACAUUGGGACUGAGACACGGCCCAGACUCCUACGGGAGGCAGCAGUUGGGAAUCUUAGGCAAUGGACGAAAGUCUGACCUAGCGACGCCGCGUGAGGGAAGAAGGCCUCGGUUGUAAACCGUCUGUCAUGGGGAAGGAAGUAAGUGACGGUACCCAACGAGGAAGCCCUGCUAACUACGUGCCAGCAGCCGCGGUAAAGUACUA